AGAGUUUGAUCAUGGCUCAGAUUGAACGCUGGCGGCGUGCCUAACACAUGCAAGUCGAGCGGUAACAGGUGUAGCAAUACAUGCUGACGAGCGGCGAACGGGUGAGUAAUGCAUUGGAAUCUUCCCAGUAGUGGGGAAUAACCAGUCGAAAGAUUGGCUAAUACCGCAUACGUCGGAAACGGGAAAGCGGGGGCUCGUAAGACCUCGCGCUAUUGGAUGAGCCAAUGUCGGAUUAGCUAGUUGGUGAGGUAACGGCUCACCAAGGCGACAAUCCGUAGCUGGUCUGAGAGGACGACCAGCCACACCGGAACUGAGACACGGUCCGGACUCCUACGGGAGGCAGCAGUGGGGAAUAUUGGACAAUGGGGGAAACCUUGAUCCAGCGACGCCGCGUGUGUGAAGAAGGCCUGCGGGUUGUAAAGCACUUUUAGUGGGGACAAAAAGCUACGGACUAAUAUUCUGUGGUCUUGAUUUAACCCAAAGAAAAAGCACCGGCUAACUCUGUGCCAGCAGCCGCGGUAAUACGGAGGGUGCGAGCGUUAAUCGGAAUUACUGGGCGUAAAGCGCGCGUAGACGGUUUUGUAAGUCAGAUGUGAAAUCCCUGGGCUCAACCUGGGAACUGCAUUUGAUACUGCAUGGCUAGAGUAUCGAAGAGGGAAGUGGAAUUUCCGGUGUAGCGGUGAAAUGCGUAGAUAUCGGAAGGAACACCAGUGGCGAAAGCGACUUCCUGGUCGAAUACUGACGUUCAUGUGCGAAAGCGUGGGGAGCAAACAGGAUUAGAUACCCUGGUAGUCCACGCCAUAAACGAUGACAACUAGAUGUUGGGAGGGUCUGCCUCUCGGUGUCGCAGCUAACGCGUUAAGUUGUCCGCCUGGGGAGUACGCCGCA
rnacentral:rRNA from 1 species